UGAUGGCUUGGAGCCGUUCCGUUUGGUACUGCAUGGUAUUGCGUAUAAUACAUGACUACACGCGAAUAUUGUGAAAAUUCUAUAUAUUCUCUCACGAAAACAGUUAUUGUUUGAAUUAAAAUUUUAGCUAGAAUGAAUGUUUGUGCAGUAAAAGAAUACAAAAAUAAUUACCGAAAAAUAAAAAAAAUGAAAGGAAAAAGGGUGAAAUUUUUUAAUUUUCCAAAAGAUGAGGAAUUGCUGCAAAGUGGCGUGAGGGAGGAUAUGUUCUGACCACUUUGAUGCAUCAUGCUAUGAUAAACCUGCACAGCAGAUAACUUUACAAUAUUCUCCUUUAAGAGGACGGAAGUUGAAACUGAAUGCAAUCCCUACAAUGAAUUUAUUUGCGGAACCACAAAUGUGGUUGAAGAAGUCGGUAAAUAUUUUUACAUCCUUUCACAGCACAAGCACUCAAUUGCAGCCAAAAUUUUAAUUCAAACAAUAACUAACUGUGCAUCAACAUGUGCCAAAGAUGUAUCCAAUAAGGCAGUAUCGUUAGAUAGUGUUACCAACGUAGAUCCAUCAGCAUCUAUUUCGAAACCAAUGUUGGAGAAUAUAAUCAAUGUUGAAAUAUAGAACCGUCAACAUCAACUGCCGAAACUAAAUUCGCAGCAUCAGAGAAUGGCAAUGUAAUGUUAGCAACAUCAACUAUAUCUGUUGACUACCUUAAGAUAAUAUGGACCGCAUUUGUUGAAACUGAUCAGAAAUCACUUGCUGGAUCAUUUAACUUAGAUGGUCGUAUAAUUAACAGAAAAUACAUUGAAAAUCUUUUAAUGAUAAACACUAAAGAUUUAAAAGUCACAGUAUCAUUUAGACGUUCGAGGGUCUGAGCGACAAAAAGUUUUUCCCGCUGCUCAGUUAUUGUCCAACAAGACAAGUUCUGCGAUUGAAUGAUGCGGCAAGAAGGGUUACCUCGAUGACCCACACUGAGAAGAAACAUACACCCAAUCGAAAUACCUAAAGAAGUAAUUUUAUGCUUAGGACGCGAACAUACAUCCGAGUACGAGAUAUUAACCGUCAGAUAUCAUUGGAAAAUAAAAAGAGAAACAAUA